GCGUUAAUCGGAAUUACUGGGCGUAAAGCGUGCGCAGGCGGUCUUGCAAGACAGGUGUGAAAUCCCCGGGCUUAACCUGGGAACUGCACUAGUGACUGCAAGGCUGGAGUACGGCAGAGGGGGAUGGAAUUCCGCGUGUAGCAGUGAAAUGCGUAGAUAUGCGGAGGAACACCGAUGGCGAAGGCAAUCCCCUGGGCCUGUACUGACGCUCAUGCACGAAAGCGUG
rnacentral:rRNA from 1 species